UGUUACUACCUCGCUCUGAAGCACGAAGGAGUGUCAGGGUUUAUGAGCCGAGGUAAGAAAAGGAAUUUCACCAGCAGCAUAAUCCAGGCCUCCUCCAGGCAGACAGCUCAGUUCACUUUACUUCUACAGUAAAGAUGUGCUUGACGGGCCCUGCUUUUCCCUGCGCCUAACACAACACAGCAUCUCACCUGGGAGCAGCUGGGUUAAAACCACAGUGUUGACUCCUGAGCCGCUCCAUCCAUGGGUUGAGUUUUUAGCUUGAGGGUACCUCUGACAGUUGCUGUUGAGUUGAAGAGUGAAUUAUGCUUUUUUUUUUUUUUUUACAUCCUCGGGAUUUGAAGUGGUUGAAUGUUGCAGACACAAGCUUUUUAUGGGAGUGUUUUGUUUCCAUGCUACAGUAAAAGCGUGUAUCAAAUGUCUUUAGGGACUCGACAGCGCUGAUGACCGAGGCCGGUGAUUCAACAAGUACUUUGGCAGGUGCUGACUGAGUUUGCUUGGCUGGCUUGCAGAUCUUGUGCAACUGUUUUUUUUAUAUAUUUUUUUUAUUUUUCCCCCUUUCCCGAGGAAAUUAAUUUGCAUUAAAUAAUACUGAGGUUUCCUGAAACAAACUGAAUCAACUGUGCUGUGGUCGAGCCACACCACGAACAAGCUGCGCAAGAAAAGCACAAAUCAAAUUCAAUCUCAAGCUGUGACAUCGCGGACAUGUGAUUUAUAUUUGUUUGUUUCCUUCGAGGUUUGAGGAAUUUAUGCAGGACUUUACAAGCUGAAAAUAAUGCAAUAACCAAGUCAUCCAGCAGUUACUGUAAGACUUUGCCUUUGUGGAAAAAGAAGCAACAUA